UCAGCGAGUCGCUUCUGUCGGUGUCGCCGGCCUCGGCGCCCACAAGGACGGGUGUGAUUCCCCUUCGCGCCUCGGUGGGUCUGUUUCGGUGACGUCGGUGGUGGCUGACGAAACAUGCUUUGACAGGGAGCGAGCGAGGAACAAUGACUACAACUCCCAGAAGGCCCCACUGAUGACGUUGUGGUGUUGUUUCGGGCUUUCCCACCACAGAUGUAAGGCUCAAUGGUCUAUAAUUAUCGGGACUAUCCCUACUACCCUUUUUGAACAAGGGGACAACAUUCGCCUCCCUCCAAUACUCCGGUACAAUUUCCGUGGACAAUGAGGACAUAAUGAUCUUCGCCAGAGGCUCAGCAAUCUAUUUCCUUGCCUCGGAUGCAGAACUGGGAAGCGCAGAUGGAGUUCAACACAGAUGAAGAGGUUCAUUUCUGCAGGUCAAAUUUGAACAAAGAAUAUAAUAUUAAUGUGAUCUUACUCCUGACGCCAGUCCCAGGACCCAACCCAUUUACAGACCUAGAGCGGAACCGGAGCAGAUCCUCAGCCACUGGUUUCCAUCCCCAGUCGCAAAGUAAGGAUAAAGUUUCCCCGUGAAUUUAUUCCCAGUGAAGAUGUGGAGAUGGGACUUGGUCUCCGCGUUGUAAAAUGAAACUGUCCCGGACUCGUAACUGAGAUAAACUCCCACCCUCCCGGGGAUGGGACCGGCAGCGAGACGGGACUCGGGGGAGGGGGGACCACCGAACAUGUCACAAUCCCGAUGUAACACAUCAUAAUACCGCCUGAUGACCCAGAAUCCGGUCUCCGGACUCAGACUGACCUGUCUCUUCCUCUCCACAGUCUCUACGGCGACUCCCGGACCCCAGUCCUAAUCCUCGUCACCUCCACGUCCCAGUGAUGUCUCCCCGAUGUGAAUCCCUCCGAUCCCAGCACACAAGGCCAGUCUGUGAAUCUCUUCCUGGUGUCAGGGAGAUCCCUCCGGGUCCGGGUACAACUCACACUCUUCCGAUCCUCAGACACCUCGAUCCAUGGAUUCGCCGUUUCCACAUUCCUCAUAGCACAUUCAUCCUAGCUCUGGCAUUCUAGACACUCUGUUCGGACACGGCAACCUAGCUCUGGCAUUGUAGACACUCUGGUUGGACACGGCAUGCUAGCUCUGGCAUUCCAGACACUCUGGUUGGACACGGCAUGCUAGCUCUGGCAUUCUAGAUACUCUGGUCGGACACGGCAUCCUAGCUCUGGCAUUCUAAAUACUCUGGUCGGUGACAGAGACUGGGAGGGGAAGCAGAGAAUUAGAGAGUCCCCGGGCAUUGUGGGGAGACUCAGGCAGCACUGCCCCAGAGAUUGGGGGAACACUCGGGCAAAGCGUCCCCAGGAGCAGUGGAAAGCCCGUGGGCCUUCGGCGCAGUCGGGUUGCUGACAGGCAACCUUUCCCAGGGAAGCGUGUGGGCAACUAAUAUCUCUCCAAUAUCUUUCCGCUGGACGGAGAGCAGAGAUUUACCGAUCAAACAGACACAAAAUGCUGUAGGAACCGAGCGGGUCAGGUAGCAUGUGUGGAGAGAGAUGGACAAUCAACGUUUCAGAUCGACAUCUUCUCUGAAGAACAAAGAUGAAUAGGGGAGAGAGACAGCAGAAACGAGUGCGGGAAAGGGGUGGAUUAAGAUGGGAAGGGGUGAGUGAAUGGAUUUAAACAAGAGGUCACAGAGGCUCUUCUAAACUUUUAGUAUCCUGAUUUAUAUUAUUGGCCAGUUUGCCCUCAUAUUUCGUCUUGACCAUUCUUAUGGCUUUUUUCGUUGCCUUUUGUUGGAUUUUAAGAGCAUCCCAAUAAUCCAACAUCCCACUCACCUUCGCUACCUUCUAUGCCAUUUCCUUAGGUUUAACACAAUUAAUACAUGCCUUUUCCAGCUCAAACUGUGAAUUAAUUUAAAGUCAAUCCCAUAAUUUAAUAAAGUUUUUACCUGAAAACUAUCUACCCUCGCAAAGAUUGUACUGAAGACUGCAGUUGAUUUUUCUUCAGCCUUAUAUGCUUCAUAUUGAAAUAGUAUGUGUUUCGACAGUUUCAUAAUGACAAAAUGUACACGACACAGAAUGAAAUUUUCCAAUUAGUUACACGGCAUAAUUAAGCAUGGUGUGGGCAUUUCUAAGUCGAGUCAAUAUCAUUCCUUCCCUUGUUUUAAGACCUUCUUCUAUAAACACUGCAAGUUUAUGUAUUCUGUAAAGGUGUCUGUCCUUAUGUCCAUUAUCCUACGUCUUGCCAUAAGCCCCUAAUUCUUAACAGUACCAACCCUUUAGCUUCUAAUUUGCUAAGUGGAAGGUCUAUAUCCGCAGCUUAACAUUUAACAGCUUUUGGUGCUAAACAGUCAACAUCAUUUCCCUCAACAUUGUGAUCUGCGGCCCAUAAUGUGCAGACAUAUAAAUCAAACUUUAGAUAUGAAAUACCGUUUGAGGAGUUUCCAACAGUCAAUCUGACCUACUGCCAGAAUGACCUGUUUAAGAGUCAUCAAAACCGAAAUAUAUUCUGAGCAAAUUAUAAGGACCAAUUUCCUCCCCCCACUGUAAGCCUAAACUGUUGGGAAAGAAUUCUGCUUCCUAUGCUGAUAAAUGACUACAAGUCAUUUCUUUAUCAUUACCUGCAAUUCAGGCACACAAAAACAGCCACACCAACAUCCCCAGUUAACUUAUCUUUUGAUUCAUCUGUAAAAAUGGUUACUGUAUCAUAAUAACUGUCAUUAAUAUACUGAUGAACCAACAGACUCUCAGGCAGAACCGAGUCCGAUCGUGUAACCUAAAAUCAACUGAAGUCAUUGGAAAAAACAAGGUGGGGUUACAGAGAAAGCUACAGUGGGACAUGUUGUAUCAUCAAAUACACCCGUAUUCCCAGUGUGGUAAGAACCCAGCCACACAAAACAAAAAACACUCUUUUUGUGAUGUCCCCAACCAUCCUCCAGCACACCUUUAACAGGAUGAUCAUUUCAUUGCCCUCUGAAAUUAAUCCAGAAUGUUAACGUCAACUUGAACCUCCAGCAACACACACAAAAUGCUGGUGGAACACAGCAGGCCAGGCAGCAUCUGUAGGGAGAAGCACUGUCAACGUUUCAGGCCGAGUCCCUCCGUCAGGACAGGUAUAGAUGUUGCCUGGCCUGCUGCGUUCCAGCAGCAUUUUGUGUGUGUUGCUUGAAUUUCCAGCAUCUGCAGAUUUCCUGGAGUUUGAACUUGAACCUCUGUUACUUUGAGGGCAAUUGUUCCAUUGUAAUCAGUAAAGCCAAAACAGGAGACAACAUUACUGCACCUGAACACAAUCUUAAAGCCUGUAAUUGUAUCACAUACAAACAUUGUUAAGUUGAAGAUGGAUCCCAUUCUCCAUCUCAUAGAAACACAAACAUAACAUGCUGACCGGUACUUGGACAGUCCAUCCAAAAAAAAACUCAGAAAAAUUAUACAAUGUCCCCCUCACUCCUAAUUUAAUCAAAAGUCCUUUCUUCCAUAUCAUUUCCCUUUUCAGUAUCAAGACAUACUGCUAUUACGACAUCUUUAUUGAAUUGUGCUUUCCGAAUAUCAUCUUCCAAACCUAAAACUGAAUCUAAUGUCAUUUUACCCUUCGAAAUCCACUCUAAUAAAACACUAUAUCAACACUCUUUCCAAAAUAUAACGCAAGUGCUUAAUUACCAAACAUUCCAUCAGUUUACAUAAAUGAGAGAUUCACGAUUUUGGUCCAUAACAAGAAGGAUCAAAUGGGGAUCUACCAGGUUUUAGAAUAGGUACGACUGCUGCCAUUUUCCAUGAGGAAAGUAGAUGCACAAUUCAAACAUUUAAUACUUUCACUAAAGAGAAUUAUAUACAAUUACAAUUUCAAACAUCUCUUUCCCGGGGACACCUGACCUGCAUUAUUAAUAGACUUCUUCAAUUUAUACAAAUAAAUCUCUCCAUCAGUGAUACUGUCAUUGCUACAGCUGACUUCGAGCACACACUGAAAAACAUAUCCCUACAUUGUUUAACUUCUUCACUUAAAUUAUCCUGAUUAUGAAUCUCAGCAAAUGACCCAGCCAGUGACAAUCCUGUUUCAGUAACAAUCAUUUUGCCCUCAUUAAACAACACUGGAAUAUUAUGAUCCCCACAAAUCCCCCCCCCCCAUUUUCAAAAUCAUAUCCCAAACAUCUCCAAGUUUGAUAUCCCUUCCAAUAUUAUCUCCAUAUAACCUCCAGUAAAUCACCUCUUUCCUCACCACGGCCUUUGCCCUUUUAUUGUUAAUAAUGUAACUCGGAGACUGAUGCACCAUCACGUAAAAACUCUAAUUUCUCCCAAUUUGCUUCCUGUCCCGUUAUAAAUCCAAAUGCAAACUCAUAAAUACAGGAAGGCUGACUGACGUUC